rnacentral:rRNA from 1 species
GGGUCAGUAGGUUGGACGUGCCACCGGUACGUACUGGUCUCACUGAUUCCUCCUUCCUGAAUAACCGUAAUGCCAUUAAUUUGGUGUUGCGGGGAAACAGGACUGUUACUUUGAAAAAAUUAGAGUGUUUAAAGCAAGCUAACACUUGAAUACAUUAGCAUGGAAUAAUGAAAUAGGACGAUCGAUCCUAUUUUGUUGGUUUCUAGGAUUGACGUA